AUGCUGCUUUGUUUUAUUUACCCAGAAGAAUUGGGCAAGAGAGACUUUACCAAGACACGUUGCUGGACUUAGGCCCUCUCCUCCCAUUAAUGCCAAAGCCAGGAGAGAUACCAGCUACUGAAUUUCAGCUGGAGAAAAGACUAGAGCACAAUGAAGAUUUUCACAGGUGUCAUUUUCUGUUCCUUGGUCUUGGGAGUCAGCAGUGAAAGCUGGUAUUCAUUCUUCAAGGAGGCUGUGCAAGGUAAGGGCGCUGAAGGUUAGAGGCCAGAACCAGCUCGCCCCAGGAUUCGCUCUGAGCAGAGGCCACACACCCCCCGAAUGUGGGCACUGCUCACGACAGACACGUUGGGGCCCUGACCAGUGGGUCGGAGCAGGAGUGUUUCUCCUUCCGGCUGGUCCGACACAGCACCCUCCACGGGACUCCCCAGACCAGCGGCCAAAGGUGCUGUGGGCCCAGCCUGUAAUUAAUUGCCGGUGGUGUGCAGACGGGUCAGUAUUUCCCUGUGUUUUGGGGCAGAUCCUUGUGGGAAUUCACAAAUGGCAAAUUUCUCAGCCUUGCAACGUAAAUGUGAAUUCAGUAUGUCCCCGGAGGUAGAGCGUCCAGGAUGAGGAUGA